rnacentral:rRNA from 1 species
GAUGAACGCUGGCGGCGUGGAUAAGGCAUGCAAGUCGAGCGAAUCAAUAGGAGCUUGCUCCUGUUGGUUAGCGGCGGACGGGUGAGUAACACGUGGGCAACCUGCCUGUAAGACUGGGAUAACUUCGGGAAACCGGAGCUAAUACCGGAUAAUCCUUUUCCACUCAUGUGGGAAAGCUGAAAGUCGGUUUCGGCUGACACUUACAGAUGGGCCCGCGGCGCAUUAGCUAGUUGGUGAGGUAACGGCUCACAAAGGCGACGAUGCGUAGCCGACCUAGGAGGGUGAUCGGGCACAAUGGGACGGAGACACGGCCCAGACUCCUACGGGAGUCAGCAGUAGGGAAUAUUCCGCAAUGGACGAAAGUCUGACGGAGCAACGCCGCGUGAGAGAUGAAGGCCUUCGGGUCGUAAAGCUCUGUUGUUAGGGAAGAAUAAGUAUCGGAGUAACUGCCGGUACCUUGACGGUACCUAACCAGAAAGCCACGGCUAACUACGUGCCAGCCGCCGCCGUAA